GGAAUCGAUAACCGCUGAAAGCAUCUAAGCGGGAAGCGAGCCCUGAGAUGAGUCAUCCCUGACCCCUUGAGGGUCCUAAAGGGCCGUUGGAGACCACAACGUUGAUAGGUGGGGUGUGUAAGCGCGGCGACGUGUUGAGCUAACCCAUACUAAUUACCCGUGAGGCUUAACCAU
rnacentral:rRNA from 2 species